GAUGAACGCUGGCUACAGGCUUAACACAUGCAAGUCGAGGGGAAACGGCAUUUGGUGCUUGCACCGAAUGGACGUCGACCGGCGCACGGGUGAGUAACGCGUAUCCAACCUUCCCGUUACUGCGGGAUAACCUGCCGAAAGGCAGACUAAUACCGCAUGUUCUUCGAUGACGGCAUCAGAUUCGAAGCAAAGAUCCGUCGGUAACGGAGGGGGAUGCGUCUGAUUAGCUGGUUGGCGGGGCGACGGCCCACCAAGGCGACGAUCAGUAGGGGUUCUGAGAGGAAGGUCCCCCACAUUGGAACUGAGACACGGUCCAAACUCCUACGGGAGGCAGCAGUGAGGAAUAUUGGUCAAUGGGCGGAAGCCUGAACCAGCCAAGUAGCGUGCAGGAUGACGGCCCUACGGGUUGUAAACUGCUUUUAUGCGGGGAUAAAGUGAGGGACGCGUCCCUUUUUGCAGGUACCGCAUGAAUAAGGACCGGCUAAUUCCGUGCCAGCAGCCGCGGUAAUACGGAAGGUCCGGGCGUUAUCCGGAUUUAUUGGGUUUAAAGGGAGCGUAGGCCGGGGAUUAAGUGUGUUGUGAAAUGUAGGCGCCCAACGUCUGACUUGCAGCGCAUACUGGUUCCCUUGAGUACGCGCAACGCCGGCGGAAUUCGUCGUGUAGCGGUGAAAUGCUUAGAUAUGACGAAGAACCCCGAUUGCGAAGGCAGCCGGCGGGAGCGCAACUGACGCUGAAGCUCGAAGGUGCGGGUAUCGAACAGG
rnacentral:rRNA from 1 species